UACGGAGGAGCAAGCGUUACUCGGAAUUAUUGGGCGUAAAGGGCGCGUAGGCGAUCCUGUAAGUCUCGUGUGAAAAGCCCCGGGCUUAACCCGGGAAUGGCAUUGAAUACUACUGAUCUGGAGGGUUGGAGGGGGGGACUGGAAUUCGUCGGGUGUAGCAGUGAAAUGCGUAGAUAUCGAGAGGAACACCAGUGGCGAAGGCGAGUCCCUGGACAAUACCUGACACUGAGGCACGAAAAGCUAGGGGGAGCAAAACAGG
rnacentral:rRNA from 1 species